rnacentral:rRNA from 1 species
UACAGAGGGUGCAAGCGUUAAUCGGAUUUACUGGGCGUAAAGGGCGCGUAGGUGGUUAUGUAAGUGAGAUGUGAAAUCCCCGGGCUUAACCUGGGAACUGCGUCUUAUACUGCAUAGCUUAAGUACAUGAGAGGGUAGUGGAAUUUCCGGUGUAGCGGUGAAAUGCGUAGAUAUCGGAAGGAACACCAGUGGCGAAGGCGGCUACCUGGCAUGAUACUGACACUGAGGCGCGAGAGCGUGGGGAGCAAACAGG